CCGGUAAACGGCGGCCGUAACUAUAACGGUCCUAAGGUAGCGAAAUUCCUUGUCGGGUAAGUUCCGACCUGCACGAAUGGCGUAAUGAUGGCCAGGCUGUCUCCACCCGAGACUCAGUGAAAUUGAACUCGCUGUGAAGAUGCAGUGUACCCGCGGCAAGACGGAAAGACCCCGUGAACCUUUACUAUAGCUUGACACUGAACAUUGAGCCUUGAUGUGUAGGAUAGGUGGGAGGCUUGGAAGUGUGGACGCCAGUCUGCAUGGAGCCGACCUUGAAAUACCACCCUUUAAUGUUUGAUGUUCUAACGUUGACCCGUAAUCCGGGUUGCGGACAGUGUCUGGUGGGUAGUUUGACUGGGGCGGUCUCCUCCUAAAGAGUAACGGAGGAGCACGAAGGUUGGCUAAUCCUGGUCGGACAUCAGGAGGUUAGUGCAAUGGCAUAAGCCAGCUUGACUGCGAGCGUGACGGCGCGAGCAGGUGCGAAAGCAGGUCAUAGUGAUCCGGUGGUUCUGAAUGGAAGGGCCAUCGCUCAACGGAUAAAAGGUACUCCGGGGAUAACAGGCUGAUACCGCCCAAGAGUUCAUAUCGACGGCGGUGUUUGGCACCUCGAUGUCGGCUCAUCACAUCCUGGGGCUGAAGUAGGUCCCAAGGGUAUGGCUGUUCGCCAUUUAAAGUGGUACGCGAGCUGGGUUUAGAACGUCGUGAGACAGUUCGGUCCCUAUCUGCCGUGGGCGCUGGAGAACUGAGGGGGGCUGCUCCUAGUACGAGAGGACCGGAGUGGACGCAUCACUGGUGUUCGGGUUGUCAUGCCAAUGGCACUGCCCGGUAGCUAAAUGCGGAAGAGAUAAGUGCUGAAAGCAUCUAAGCACGAAACUUGCCCCGAGAUGAGUUCUCCCUGACCCUUUAAGGGUCCUGAAGGAACGUUGAAGACGACGACGUUGAUAGGCCGGGUGU
rnacentral:rRNA from 1 species